rnacentral:piRNA from 1 species
UGAGAAUCAAGGUGUUUAAAAUUCAU